rnacentral:rRNA from 1 species
UAAUUCUAAAAGACAUGGUAAUUGAUCAAUCUUUUAAUAUGGAAUCGUCGGAUAUUAAUGCUGUUCUAUUCAUGAGCGCCACUAUUCGUAAUAUGACCACUAUGGAUAAUAACAACCUAGAUGUGUUCGCUGCAUUGGGCGGCCAUUUUAGCCAUCUUCUUGUCGGUGGACUCUGCACGAACUCCAUAUCCCUGGCAUCCACUGAAGUUCAGGGCAAUCUAAUCAUAGAAAGCAGCACCGUGUUAGGUGAUGUGUCUUUCAUAAUGUCUGAAUUCGGUGGUAACGGUGUGCUGCGGU